GAAGAUAUAAACCUAACGAUCUUUUUGAUGAUGUCGUCGACAAUGGUGGGCCAAGUAGGAGCCAUGGAGACUGUUCCAUCGACGGCAAUAGCAAGCCGCUUCCUUACCAUCAGUCCCCGAUCUACGGCGGCCGCCAUGGAUAACUGGUAUGUUCUUCUGUAACUUUUUUCUGUGUCGAAAAAUGAGGUUGUUUGGAAGAAAAGCAGAGAAGAGGAGCAGUUUUGGUUCUUCUCGAGUUC
rnacentral:lncRNA from 1 species